CCUACGGGGGGUAGCAGUGAGGAAUAUUGGUCAAUGGACGAGAGUCUGAACCAGCCAAGUAGCGUGAAGGAUGACUGCCCUAUGGGUUGUAAACUUCUUUUAUAUGGGAAUAAAAUGUUCCACGUGUGGGAUUUUGUAUGUACCAUAUGAAUAAGGAUCGGCUAACUCCGUGCCAGCAGCCGCGGUAAUACGGAGGAUCCGAGCGUUAUCCGGAUUUAUUGGGUUUAAAGGGAGCGUAGGUGGAUUGUUAAGUCAGUUGUGAAAGUUUGCGGCUCAACCGUAAAAUUGCAGUUGAAACUGGCAGUCUUGAGUACAGUAGAGGUGGGCGGAAUUCGUGGUGUAGCGGUGAAAUGCUUAGAUAUCACGAAGAACUCCGAUUGCGAAGGCAGUUCACUGGACUGCAACUGACACUGAGGCUCGAAAGUGUGGGUAUCAAACAGGAUUAGAUACCCUUGUAGUC
rnacentral:rRNA from 1 species